ACCUCUUGAUUUGGGCACUGAGCUAUAUUUCCAUUAAACCAUUCCCAAGCAUCAAAAAACGUCUCUCCAUUCAUUUGCAAAAAAUUCACAAUCUCAUCCCACUU
rfam:Capsicum annuum cultivar Zunla-1 chromosome 5, whole genome shotgun sequence